rnacentral:rRNA from 1 species
UACGUAGGGUGCAAGCGUUAAUCGGAAUUACUGGGCGUAAAGCGUGCGCAGGCGGUUGUGUAAGACAGAUGUGAAAUCCCCGGGCUCAACCUGGGAACUGCAUUUGUGACUGCACGGCUGGAGUGCGGCAGAGGGGGAUGGAAUUCCGCGUGUAGCAGUGAAAUGCGUAGAUAUGCGGAGGAACACCGAUGGCGAAGGCAAUCCCCUGGGCCUGAACUGACGCUCAUGCACGAAAGCGUGGGGAGCAAACAGG